AAUGAACGCUGGCGGCAUGCCUAACACAUGCAAGUCGAACGAAGGCUUCGGCCUUAGUGGCGCACGGGUGCGUAACGCGUGGGAAUCUACCCUUGGGUUCGGAAUAACAGUGAGAAAUUACCGCUAAUACCGGAUGAUGACGUAAGUCCAAAGAUUUAUCGCCCAAGGAUGAGCCCGCGUAGGAUUAGCUUGUUGGUGAGGUAAAAGCACACCAAGGCGACGAUCCUUAGCUGGUCUGAGAGGAUGAUCAGCCACACUGGGACUGAGACACGGCCCAGACUCCUACGGGAGGCAGCAGUGGGGAAUAUUGGACAAUGGGCGAAAGCCUGAUCCAGCAAUGCCGCGUGAGUGAUGAAGGCCUUAGGGUUGUAAAGCUCUUUUACCCGGGAAGAUAAUGACUGUACCGGGAGAAUAAGCCCCGGCUAACUCCGUGCCAGCAGCCGCCGUAAAAC
rnacentral:rRNA from 1 species